ensembl:lncRNA
CGUCUAGUCAAGGCUAUGGUUUUUCCAGUGGUCAUGUAUGGAUGUGAGAGUUGGACUGUGAAGAAGGCUGAGCGCUGAAGAAUUGAUGCUUUUGACCUGUGGUAUUGGGGAAGACUCUUGAGAGUCCCUUGGACUGCAAGGAGAUCCAAUCAGUCCUUCCUGAGGGAGAUCAGUCCUGGGAUUUCUUUGGAAGGAAAGAUGGUAAAGCUGAAACUCCAGUACUUUGGCCACCUCGUGAGAAGCAUUGACUCAUUGGAAAGGACUCUGAUGCUGGGAGGGAUUGGGGGCAGGACGACCAAGGAUGAGAUGGCUGGAUGGCAUUACGGACUCAAUGGACGUGAGUCUGAGUGAACUCCGGGAGAUGAUGAUGCACAGGGAGGCCUGGCAUGCUGCGAUUCAUGGGGUUGCAAAGAGUCAGACAUAACUGAGCAACUGAAAUGAACAGAUGCUUGAAAUAAAACAGUAUGUGAAAGUGAAAGCUGCUCAGUCCUGUUCAACUCUGUGACUCCAUGGACUUAUACAGUCCAUGGAAUUCUCCAGGCCAGCAUACUGGAGUGGGUAGCCUUUCCCUUCUCUAGGAGAUCUUCCCAACGUGGGGAUUUAACCUGGGUCUCCCGCAUUGCAGGUAGAUUCUUCUCCAGCUGAGCCACAAGGAAAGCUCAAGAUUGUUGGAGUAUGUAGCCUAUCCCUUCUCCAGCAGAUCUUCCUGACCCAGGAAUUGAACUCAUGUCCAUUGAGUUGGUGAUGCCAUCCAACAAUCUCAUCCUCUGUCAUCCCCUUCUCCUCCCGCCUUCAAUCUUUCCCAGCAUCAGGUUCUUUUCCAAUGAGUCAGUUAGAAAAGACUAAUGUUAGUCAAUUGGAAAAACUAAUGUAACUGGGGGUCUCCUGCAUUACAAGCAGUUUCUUUACCACCUGAAUUAUUGUAUACCCUGAUCUUAUUUCUGAAACUUUUUUGACAAAACCUAAGUAAUAUUUGAUAUCCGUUUCAUAAGCACAUUCUAUAAAACAACCUUUAAAAAUAUGAAUGCUGUAGAUUACCUAUAGAGUAUUUAAUUAUGCUUGUAAUCUUUGUUGUUGUUGUUUAGUUG